rnacentral:rRNA from 1 species
GAUGAACGCUGGCGGCGUGCCUAAUACAUGCAAGUCGAGCGAACAGACGAGGAGCUUGCUCCUCUGACGUUAGCGGCGGACGGGUGAGUAACACGUGGAUAACCUACCUAUAAGACUGGGAUAACUUCGGGAAGCCGGAGCUAAUACCGGAUAAUAUAUUGAACCGCAUGGUUCAAUAGUGAAAGACGGUUUUGCUGUCACUUACAGAUGGAUCCGCGCCGCAUUAGCUAGUUGGUAAGGUAACGGCUUACCAAGGCAACGAUGCGUAGCCGACCUGAGAGGGUGAUCGGCCACACUGGAACUGAGACACGGUCCAGACUCCUACGGGAGGCAGCAGUAGGGAAUCUUCCGCAAUGGGCGAAAGCUUGACGGAGCAACGCCGCGUGAGUGAUGAAGGUCUUCGGAUCGUAAAACUCUGUUAUUAGGGAAGAACAAAUGUGUAAGUAACUAUGCACGUCUUGACGGUACCUAAUCAGAAAGCCACGGCUAACUACGUG